UGCCUUAGUAACGGCGAGUGAAGCGGCAAUAGCUCAAAUUUGAAAUCUGUCUCUUUUAGAGUCCGAGUUGUAAUUUGUAGAGGAUGUUUCGGCUUACGCCCCGGUUUAAAUUCCUUGGAACAGGAUGUCAUAGAGGGUGAGAAUCCCGUUUGUGGCCGGCGGCUUCCGCUAUGUGAAACUCCUUCGACGAGUCGAGUUGUUUGGGAAUGCAGCUCUAAAUGGGAGGUAAAUUUCUUCUAAAGCUAAAUAUUGGCCAGAGACCGAUAGCGCACAAGUAGAGUGAUCGAAAGAUGAAAAGCACUUUGGAAAGAGAGUUAAAAAGUACGUGAAAUUGUUGAAAGGGAAGCGCUUGCGACUAGACUUGUCUUCAGUUGCUCCGCCGGUCCUUCGACCGGUGUAUUCUUCUGUUGUCAGGCCAGCAUUAGUUCGGGCGGUUGGAUAAAGGCUUUGGGAAUGUGACUCUCUUCGGGGAGUGUUAUAGCCCAUUGUGCAAUACAGCCUGCCUGGACUAAGGACCGCGCUUCGGCUAGGAUGCUGGCGUAAUGGUCGUAAGCGGCCCGUCUUGAAACACGGACCAAGGAGUCUAACAUCUAUGCGAGUGUUUGGGUGUCAAACCCGUGCGCGUAAUGAAAGUGAACGGAGGUGGGAACCUUUUAGGUGCACCAUCGACCGAUCUUGAUGUCUUCGGAUGGAUUUGAGUAAGAGCAUAACUGUUGGGACCCGAAAGAUGGUGAACUAUGCCUGAAUAGGGUGAAGCCAGAGGAAACUCUGGUGGAGGCUCGCAGCGGUUCUGACGUGCAAAUCGAUCGUCAAAUUUAGGCAUAGGGGCGAAAGUAAGUUCUAAAUUCCCUCCCUUUAUUUAGAGGAGACUCUUUUUUUUUAGGCCUUUUACUAAUUAUAAUUUAUAGGACUAAUCGAACCAUUAACCUAAACCAAUAGUUUUAUAACUA
rnacentral:rRNA from 1 species